UUUUGCCUACGGGGCGCAGCAGUGGGGAAUAUUGCACAAUGGGGGGAACCCUGAUGCAGCGACGCCGCGUGAGUGAAGAAGUAUUUCGGUAUGUAAAGCUCUAUCAGCAGGGAAGAAGAUGACGGUACCUGACUAAGAAGCCCCGGCUAACUACGUGCCAGCAGCCGCGGUAAUACGUAGGGGGCAAGCGUUAUCCGGAUUUACUGGGUGUAAAGGGAGCGUAGACGGCAGGGCAAGUCUGGAGGGAAAGCCCGGGGCCCAACCCCGGGACUGCUUUGGAAACUGCCAUGCUGGA
rnacentral:rRNA from 1 species